CUACGGGGGGCUGCAGUGAGGAAUAUUGCACAAUGGGGUUAACCCUUAUUCCUCAACGCCGCGUGGAGGAUGACGCAUUUCGGUGUGUAAACUCCUUUUAUAUGUCAAGAAAAUGACGGUAGCAUAUGAAUAAGCACCGGCUAACUCCGUGCCAGCAGCCGCGGUAAUACGGAGGGUGCAAGCGUUACUCGGAAUCACUGGGCGUAAAGGACGCGUAGGCGGGUUGGAAAGUCAGGUGUGAAAUCCUACAGCUUAACUGUAGAACUGCACUUGAAACUUCUAAUCUAGAGUAUGGGAGGGGGAGAUGGAAUUAGUGGUGUAGGGGUAAAAUCCGUAGAUAUCACUAGGAAUACCUAAAGCGAAGGCGAUCUCCUGGAACAUUACUGACGCUAAGGCGUGAAAGCGUGGGGAGCAAACAGGAUUAGAUACCCGCGUAGUC
rnacentral:rRNA from 1 species